rnacentral:misc_RNA from 1 species
UAUUCACUUUCGAUCAUCUACUAGAAAAAUACUCUUUCAAUAAUAAUAUUUCAACUUUUGUUUUUAUUAAUUUAUUAUCAUAAUCCAAAUUGUCGAGUCAUUUCUAGAGCUUUUUCCUAUGAUUCAUCGCUGGGCAAGUGGAAUCCCCGGACAAGUCAAAUGAUACAACCUGAAAUGCGGAACUCAGGAUGCCCUAUGCAAAAUGCUGAUAGUCUUCAUGUUGCUCUCAGACCCGUUAUUUAUCUUGCACAAUGUUUCGCUCUCUUUCCUGUAAAUGGAAUCAAUUCAAAAGAUACUUCAGGUCUCAGAUUUACCUGGAGAAGCUUCAAAAUAUUAUAUGCAGCUGUAGUAUUGGGAAUGUCAAUUUUUUUAGCAAUUGCCAGUACCGUUCGUUUAUUUUCAUCAGAAUUUCAUACAACUAAAAUGACAACACUUGUAUUUUCUAUAACUACUUGCUUGACAAGUAUAAUCUUUCUAAGACUUGCUACAAAAUGGCCAGAAUUUGCAAGUUCUUGGGAAAAAGUUGAACGUGAAUUAGCAACUCGUCAUCGUCGUCCUCCUAAAUUUAACUUAACUACCAGAUUUAAAACUAUCACUGCUAUUAUCAUGAUUUUAGCUGUCGUUGAGCACACCUUUUCUCUUGCUUCGGGAUACAUAAGUGCAACAGAAUGUGCAAAUUAUCGAGGUGACAAAAAUAUCGCUGCAGUUUAUUACAAAACCCAAUAUCCUCAAGUGUUUAAUCGAACAUCUUACGCAUUAUGGAAAGGAAUUAUAGUUCAAUUUGGUCAUGUAUUUAGUACAUUCUCAUGGAACUUUAUGGAUCUAUUUAUAAUUCUUUUAAGUACAGCUUUGACUUAUCACUUUAGUCAACUCAAUGAUCGUUUAAAUUCUGUUAAGAAUAAGACAAUGCCUGAGUGGUGGUGGUCCCACGCAAGAAUCGAUUACAAUAAUCUUGCCAAUCUAACUCGACAAGUUGAUUCUUAUAUCUCCGUCAUUACCCUUUUAUCUUUUGGCACGGAUCUUUAUUUUAUCUGCCUCCAGCUGAUGUAUUCAUUUGACCGAAUAUCUACAAGUGUUAUGAGAACAAUCUAUUUAUGUUUUUCUUUUGGAUUUCUUCUUGCAAGAACUACUGCUGUUUGUUUAUCAGCAGCUGCUGUUCAUGAUGAAUCUGUGCUUCCUGCACCAGUUCUUUAUAGUGUUAAUGCCGCCAGUUAUUCCACUGAGGUUAUACGAUUUUUAACACAAGUAACAACUGACUUUAUUGGUUUAACUGGCAUGAAGUUUUUUUCAAUUACUAGAAGUUUUGUUCUUACAGUUGCAGGAACUAUCGUUACAUACGAAAUUGUUCUUGUACAAUUUAGUGCAGUUCAACAAGCAUCACAUAUAAAUAUCACCAACGCUUGUGAGUACGAGAUGGAAUUUGAAUUGCACAUCUAAGAAGGACAUUGUAUCAAUCACAACCAACCAUUGAUCAUAAGGAGUAUUGAAUCAGUCACAGCCAACCAUUCAUCAUAAGAAAUGAAUGUAACCUCACAUUUUUCAUCAAUUUUUAUGGUUAUUGAGGGUUUAACCUCUUUCGUAUCGGCAGGGUGGAGAAUAAAAUUGUUAUAUCUAUAAAAAACCGUAUGAAGAUGAGAAAUUUUAUGGAAAAAACAUCAGUUUUAUUUAUCAUAUCAUAUGUCUGUUACUCCAGAAUUUCAAGGUCGAAAAACGACGUAACAUAAAUUGAUGAAUAAAGCGCAGUAUUGUAUCCAGGGAGACGAGCGUGUGUAAAUUAAUGGGGACUGCAUAUAAAAAACAUAGUAAUCAUAAUCACUUGCUGCAUGAUAAAAAAUUUUAUUUUUUAUUAUGAUACAACAUAAACAAAUUAAAAGAUUAUCUCUGGCAU